CGUUGAUUGGAUGGUCAAGCCCAAUGACGUGUUCAAACGUGUCUUCCUAAACAAGAAACGAGUUUGAAAAAAAGUUGUUGUAUCAACAACUUCCGGUACAUUCAGUGAGCGAUGUCCUAGAAACAUAAACACAAUUACUAAAUUCGGUAAAAUGGACAACCGUUGUUUUUGUUGUUCAUCAAAGUUCACUCUCUUCAGGAAGCUCACGGAAUAAGCUGCAUUGGACGAGGCCAGUGGCUACAACAUACCCCCUGAGCACAGUGGCGCAAAAAACACAGAAAUGACAGCUGCCCACAAGAAACAGCAGCUGCCCUGGCCAGUCAGGCUUCAGACAGUGAUGAGGAUGAGCUUCCCUGGUGCUGCAUCUGUAAUCAGGAGACCUCCAUCCGCUGUCACACCUGUGAUGGGGAUCUUUUGACUGCAACCGCUGCUUCAGACUCCAAUCCAGAGCGACCCACCGGAACAACCAUGGUCAAGCGCCCCGACCAAGGACACGUUGACAGAUCCGCCACCAAGUAAAAACAGGAACCAGCGAUCUAUCGGCCACUGUUUUGAUGUUUAUAUACACUGACUGGCUUUAUCCUUCUAUGAAAUGACAUAUCAUCCAUACACAACCAACAUUGACCCAUGUGUGCAGAGAGAAGGUCCCAUUAACAUGCAAUUGCACAGAGAGACAUCCAAAAUACCAGGUAAUGACGGGGUGGGUUGCGGAGUCUGGGGCGCUUCACAUUGUCUCGAGUCUUGAUUUG